rnacentral:rRNA from 1 species
GACGGAGGAUGCAAGUGUUAUCCGGAAUCACUGGGCGUAAAGCGUCUGUAGGUGGUUCGAAAAGUCCACUGUUAAAAAUUGAGGCUUAACCUCAAAGAUGCCGUGGAAACUUUCAAACUAGAGUAUGGUAGAGGUAGAGGGAAUUUCCAGUGGAGCGGUGAAAUGCGUAGAUAUUGGAAAGACCACCGAUGGCGAAGGCACUCUACUGGGCCAUUACUGACACUGAGAGACGAAAGCUAGGGGAGCAAAUGGG